AGAGAAGUACAAGGAAGGUGAAUACCAUUAUAGCCCACUUUGUGUUUGGGAGAUGUGAGGACUGGUGGUGAGCAGAAGAAUUGUCUUCAGAAUUGUCAAAAAGUUGUUUUCACUGUGACAUGGGAAAUUACUUAACCGGAUCCCUGGGUGGCGCAGCGGUUUGGCGCCUGCCUUUGGCCCAGGGCGCGAUCCUGGAGACCGGGGAUCGAGUCCCACAUCAGGCUCCUGGUGCAUGGAGCCUGCUUCUCCCUCUGCCUGUGUCUCUGCCUCUCUCUCUCUCUCUCUGUGUGACUAUCAUAAAUAAAUAAAAAUUAAAAAAAAAAAAAAAAGGAAAUUACUUAACCACUUGUUGCCUCAGUUUCCUCUUUGUAACAUGGGAAAAAUAUAACCUACUUCAUGAGGUGCUUCAAAUAACAUCUGGCAGGGCAACCUGGGUGGCUCAGCAGUUUAGCACUCCCUUUGGUCCACGCGUGACCCUGGAGACCCAGGAUUGAGUCCCACGUCAGGCUCCCUGCAUGGAGCCUGCCUGUGCCUCUGCCUCUCUCUGCCUCUCUCUGUGUCUCUCAUAAAUAAAUACAUAAAAUCUUAAAAAAAAAAAAAAACC
rnacentral:lncRNA from 1 species